UGCCCUUGGCACAAUCUAAUGCAAAAACAGCAAUCUGGGUCCACCGUCAACCACAACGGCACCUGACAGUCCAGAACAGUCUAUACACUACUGUAAAAAUAAACUCGGUAUCCCAGCACGAGCGUAAAUUCAUUCUACACUAUUCUGUAUAUCCACUGCGUACAAACUGUGGCGAUACAAACAAACUACAGGUCCUAAAACUAAAUCUGUUAGUUUUUAGAAAAUGACAGUGUAGAAUCUGAUAGUUUUCUCCUAAGUCAAUUCCAAGUCCAAUAUGUAAAAUUCAACAAAAAUACUAAUUAUGCUCCAAAUUCAGAUUUCAAAGAACAUGCAAAUCAAUGAAUUCGAGUUAUUAAAUAUGAUAUACGAAACAAAAAAUACAUG
rnacentral:lncRNA from 1 species